GCCUUCGUGGUGUAGUGCUCAGCACGCGCAACGCGUAACCGAACGGUCCGCGGUUCGAUUCCUGGCGAAGGCG
rfam:Stegodyphus mimosarum contig47860, whole genome shotgun sequence.